rnacentral:rRNA from 1 species
GGUUAAGCGACUAAGCGUACACGGUGGAUGCCCUGGCAGUCAGAGGCGAUGAAGGACGUGCUAAUCUGCGAUAAGCGUCGGUAAGGUGAUAUGAACCGUUAUAACCGGCGAUUUCCGAAUGGGGAAACCCAGUGUGAUUCGUCACACUAUCAUUAACUGAAUCCAUAGGUUAAUGAGGCGAACCGGGGGAACUGAAACAUCUAAGUACCCCGAGGAAAAGAAAUCAACCGAGAUUCCCCCAGUAGCGGCGAGCGAACGGGGAGCAGCCCAGAGCCUGAAUCAGUGUGUGUGUUAGUGGAAGCGUCUGGAAAGGCGUGCGAUACAGGGUGACAGCCCCGUACACAAAAAUGCACAUGCUGUGAGCUCGAUGAGUAGGGCGGGACACGUGGUAUCCUGUCUGAAUAUGGGGGGACCAUCCUCCAAGGCUAAAUACUCCUGACUGACCGAUAGUGAACCAGUACCGUGAGGGAAAGGCGAAAAGAACCCCGGCGAGGGGAGUGAAAAAGAACCUGAAACCGUGUACGUACAAGCAGUGGGAGCACGCUUAGGCGUGUGACUGCGUACCUUUUGUAUAAUGGGUCAGCGACUUAUAUUCUGUAGCAAGGUUAACCGAAUAGGGGAGCCGAAGGGAAACCGAGUCUUAACUGGGCGUUAAGUUGCAGGGUAUAGACCCGAAACCCGGUGAUCUAGCCAUGGGCAGGUUGAAGGUUGGGUAACACUAACUGGAGGACCGAACCGACUAAUGUUGAAAAAUUAGCGGAUGACUUGUGGCUGGGGGUGAAAGGCCAAUCAAACCGGGAGAUAGCUGGUUCUCCCCGAAAGCUAUUUAGGUAGCGCCUCGUGAAUUCAUCUCCGGGGGUAGAGCACUGUUUCGGCAAGGGGGUCAUCCCGACUUACCAACCCGAUGCAAACUGCGAAUACCGGAGAAUGUUAUCACGGGAGACACACGGCGGGUGCUAACGUCCGUCGUGAAGAGGGAAACAACCCAGACCGCCAGCUAAGGUCCCAAAGUCAUGGUUAAGUGGGAAACGAUGUGGGAAGGCCCAGACAGCCAGGAUGUUGGCUUAGAAGCAGCCAUCAUUUAAAGAAAGCGUAAUAGCUCACUGGUCGAGUCGGCCUGCGCGGAAGAUGUAACGGGGCUAAACCAUGCACCGAAGCUGCGGCAGCGACGCUUAUGCGUUGUUGGGUA